UUUUGUUAUAACUCUGUAGCUUUUAAAUUAUGAGUUUAUAAGGCUCUAAAUACGGUAAAUUACGGAUUCUCCGUAGGGAACGCCCUUAAUUCUUCAGUGACUACAA